rnacentral:rRNA from 1 species
UGGGGAAUUUUGGACAAUGGGCGAAAGCCUGAUCCAGCAAUGCCGCGUGUGUGAAGAAGGCCUUCGGGUUGUAAAGCACUUUUGUCCGGAAAGAAAUCCUUGGCUCUAAUACAGUCGGGGGAUGACGGUACCGGAAGAAUAAGCACCGGCUAACUACGUGCCAGCAGCCGCGGUAAUACGUAGGGUGCAAGCGUUAAUCGGAAUUACUGGGCGUAAAGCGUGCGCAGGCGGUUUGCUAAGACCGAUGUGAAAUCCCCGGGCUCAACCUGGGAACUGCGUUGGUGACUGGCAGGCUAGAGUAUGGCAGAGGGGGGUAGAAUUCCACGUGUAGCAGUGAAAUGCGUAGAGAUGUGGAGGAAUACCGAUGGCGAAGGCAGCCCCCUGGGCCAAAUACUGACGCUCAUGCACGAAAAGGCGUGGGGGAGCAAAACAGGAUUAGAUACCCCUGGUAGUCCACGCCCUAAAACGAUGUCAACUAGUUGUUGGGGACUUCAUUUCCUUAGUAACGUAGCUAACGCGUGAAGUUGACCGCCUGGGGAGUACGGUCG